rnacentral:rRNA from 1 species
AACGAACGCUGGCGGCAUGCCUAACACAUGCAAGUCGAACGAGACCUUCGGGUCUAGUGGCGCACGGGUGCGUAACGCGUGGGAACCUGCCCUUAGGUUCGGAAUAACUCCCCGAAAGGGGUGCUAAUACCGGAUAAUGUCUUCGGACCAAAGAUUUAUCGCUUUUGGAUGGGCCCGCGUUGGAUUAGCUAGUUGGUAGGGUAAAAGCCUACCAAGGCGACGAUCCAUAGCUGGUCUGAGAGGAUGAUCAGCCACACUGGGACUGAGACACGGCCCAGACUCCUACGGGAGGCAGCAGUGGGGAAUAUUGGAGAAUGGGCGAAAGCCUGAUCCAGCAAUGCCGCGUGAGUGAUGAAGGCCUUAGGGUUGUAAAGCUCUUUUACACGGGAUGAUAAUGACAGUACCGGGAGAAUAAGCUCCGGCUAACUCCGUG